rnacentral:lncRNA from 1 species
CGAGCAGUCAAAAGGAGCGCAGGUGAUACAAGGAAAUCAAAUCUGAGCAACCACAUUUAACUUUAAAAAAAACUGAUGCACUGACAAAUUGAUUUGGAAAUUGCAAAAAAAUCUUUGAGCUAAAAUCGAAUGAACCAAGAGAAGAAACUACAAUGUGGAAAGUUUUCAGACUAAUCUUGCACCAUUGAUGCUAAGCCAAAGCAACAGAUUCUAAGCUAAUUGUAUUCUCAAGAGUCCAUAAUCAAAUACAGGCUGCUUCCUAAUUAUUCUAGAGGAAAAAUCACCAUAUGACUAAUUUAAAUGAAAUAAACACGAGAGCAAGACCAUUUUAACAAGGGAAACAAAUAGGAUUAAGGAAAAAAUUUGCUUCAUUCCAUCUUCAAAUUUGAUUUCACAUUGCGAGAUUCGAAAUAUGUACCUGGUUACAACAACAAAACUAACAAAAGUGAGUCGGGACAUAACAGUAAGCAGCAGCAGAAGUAAUUUCAAAUAAGGAAGAAAUCCCACAGCAUGAUUAUAACCAUCCAGGCAGAUGUAAUAUCAAACAAGCCAUCAGUAGAAAUCAACAUCAACCACACAACCCAUAUUUAGUGAAUGAAACCAGGAGAUUGACUCAAAAACCCAAUGAAACAGUAGACUUAACAGCUUAAAACCCAGAGAAUGUAAUCUAAACACUUAUUAUCAACUUCAAAAAAUCAGAGCACCAUAAUACAAGAUCAUCAUCUUUCUUUCAAACCAUUUUAAAUCUUGGACAGAAUGGAAAAUUUCAAAUUGAUUCAGAAAUUAACCAACUUCAAACAAUCAGAGCACCAUAAUCCAAGAUCAUCAUCUUUCUUUCAAACCAUUUCAAAGCUUGGACAAAAAGGAAAAUUUCAAGUUGAUUCAAAAAUGAAAAUAAACUUCCAAAGUUUAGACCUGAAUAACAGUAAUACUAACUUCUGCUUCUCUUUUUUUCUAAUUCUUUUCAAAUUUUUUUUAGAAUGUUGCUGGCUGCCUUUCAAAGCAAGAAAGCAUGCCUUUCUAGGCAAGGCAAGUAGGGCAGCCUUAGGUUUUCAUUUUUCAACUUACCCCUUUUUCAAAUUUCGUUUUAGCUUAGGUAACCCCCAAUUCCUGACUUUCUACCCAAGUUUAAACACCCAAAAUCUUAUAUUCCCUUAAGACCCCUACUAGAAGCUUUUCUUUCUGAUAGAAAAAGAUUCCUUAAGUGAAUUACCCCAAUUACCCCUUUUAACUAAUGUUAUUUACCCUCCCAAAGACCAGUUCGACCAAGGGUCAUUCUGGCCAUAACAAACAGGGCUCGAGGCCUGUUAUUGAGCCAUGCUAAAAUGAGUCGAAGGCCCAAAACCUAUACCCAACAAACCAAAAUCCCCCAAUUUCGACCAAAUGAAUUAGCACACACACGAUGGCCCAAGAAAAACCAGUAAAUUAAUCAUGAUUAUGAACACAACAUUAUAUUUUCUUCUUUUAAUAAAAACCUUUUAACAGAAUUAAACCAAGAACUACUGUCUAUCCGAAUUAACAUAGAUACAAAGGAAAUGACGAGAAGAGAAACAAAAGCAACAUGGGCGACGGAGGAAAUGAAUCAAAACAAAAGCUGGAUAAUUAAAUCGACGGGGAAGAUGGCGGAGAAGAGACGAGAAUGAUACCUUCACAAUGGCCCGGACAAAGCUUUGAUGAACCCUAUGGUUUUUACUUGAGUCGAAAACAAACAUUAACCGUUUGUUCUCGAAGAAAACACACGAUCAAUGUACGUUUCAAACCAUGUCGUUCAUAGGAGUUUGAAAACUUGAAGCCUCUCUUCCUUCAAUUUUGAUUCGACAAUGUCUGAUUUGGCUUGGAUUUGGAGAGAAGUAGUGAUGGAUUAGGGUCUUAGAAUGACUGAGGGUUUCACAGCUGGAUUUCGGUGGUGGUUGGAGCCUUCUUGCCGGUGGCCAUGGCGGAUUAGAGCUUAGAGACGGAGAAAACUAGGUCUGGUAUGUAUGGAGAUGGCGACUGAAAAUUUCUUUUAGGACAUAUUAAUUAUAAAUGGGAAGUAGUCAUGGCCGUUGGAUGCGGACAAUGGAUGGCUAGGAUCUCUUUG